UCUUCACUAACAAUACGCAUGCAUUG
rnacentral:misc_RNA from 1 species